rnacentral:tRNA from 1 species
ACGGGUAUAGUUCAAUGGUAGAAUAGAGGUCUCCAAAACCUUUGAUCUGGGUUCGAAUCCUAGUACCCGUG